UACGAAGGGGGCUAGCGUUGCUCGGAAUCACUGGGCGUAAAGGGUGCGUAGGCGGGUUUUUAAGUCAGGGGUGAAAUCCUGGAGCUCAACUCCAGAACUGCCUUUGAUACUGAAGAUCUUGAGUCCGGGAGAGGUGAGUGGAACUGCGAGUGUAGGGGUGAAAUUCGUAGAUAUUCGCAAGAACACCAGUGGCGAAGGCGGCUCACUGGCCCGGUACUGACGCUGAGGCACGAAAGCGUGGGGAGCAAACAGG
rnacentral:rRNA from 1 species